ensembl:ncRNA lncRNA:CR43961 long non-coding RNA:CR43961
CAAUAACAAGCAAAGUUUAAACCAAUUUGCAUGGUAGCUUUUGCAUAAAUAAUUGACUGAAUAACUGACUCCGCUCCGGCGUAAUUAGCCAGAAUUCAUGGAAUAGAAUCCCUUCACCAAGGGAUGACAACGCUGCCGAGGCCAAAAGUCAAAUACCCGGACCAAAUGCACGCACAGCACAGAAGAAACUCAGGUGAAGGCGAUGCGAUGCGAUGCGAUGGCAAAAGGCAAAGGCGUGUGCCAUCUAAAAUUUAUAAAAAUCAAAGUAAGCACUGCGAGCGCAAGGAGAAUAACUUUCUGAUGGCCGAUCACUGAAUUGGAAAGUUGGGUUAUGGGAAUGUGGCACGCAAAUCGUGCAACCAAUUCUUGGAAUCUUAAAGCUUAACUGCAUACUUUUCAAUAGUUCAAUCUUUAUAAAAUUUAUAAAUAGUUCGGGUUUUCAGUUAACCAAUUACAAGUUACAGAACCAGAUAGUUAUAUAAUCCUUCUCAUAACUAUAUUCUACCAAAUGUUUCCCUUUUAAUUCCUUAUGAGAAUUUGAAUAGAUAUUUUCCGACUAGUCUUCUAAUAAGUUAAACAAAAUCUGCUGAACUUUAAAAUAAGAUUCAUAUCAUUUCUGUAAGAUGAGCAUAAACAUUUCAUAGAGCUUACAGUGCAAGCCACUCGACAAAAGUAAGCGACUCUGCCGAAGGAGUGGGAUGAGAAAAUCGAGGAGCUGGAGGUCAGCUCCGCAGCGAGUAAAACAAAAGGGAAAUGUCGAAAAGGAAUCUGGAUACACAUCAUCAUUUGUCUUGGCGGCAAGAUGGCGGUGGCCACCAAGGCAGCGGAGAGUGGCUCCAUUUAGGCCAGGCGCACAUUGAUGAAUGAAGUGCGUAGUGGCUAUAAAGGCCAAAAGGCAGGCAGCAUUAAAAAUGCACACGCAAUCAGAAAAUGCCCCACGACGGCCUCAUAAGCCGAAGUCUGAGGACUCAGGACGCCAGAGCCCAGAACCCGGCACUUUCGACUCCGUGCCCCAAUGCGAACCAGGUGAUGGAUCAGCGGCCUCAGAUAAGACAGGCGAAGAAGGACAAGAGAAGGAGAAGUUGCAGAUGGCGAUGGAGAUGGGGCUGAACGCAGAGCCAUAGCCAGAUCCAGAGUCGGGGUAAUGAGUGAGUUGAAUUGGGGCGGCUGCCAUCAAAUGUUGUUAACCCCUUUUGAGCCGGGCCUCUCGCCGUGGAGAAACAAUUUAUAAUUUGUUUGAGGGCUUUCAGCGGCCUUUCAAGGCAAUUACCCCGCAUCCGCAUGGCGGACAGCAGGAUCUGACUUUACCUUUGGCAGACCAACUGCGAACUUUGGCACCCAGAUUGGUCAGGAUUCGAGCCCACUACUACUGACUGGGUCAUCCUGUUGGCCAUUCUCCAUUUUCACGCUGUGAUGUAUUGUGAAAACGACGAGCAUGUUUCCUUUGACGGAACACCUUCAUUUGCACUGAACCGAAACGAAGCAACUUCUAGCUAUGCCAACAUGUAUACAACUAACUAUAUAUUGUAUAUUAUCAAUCUUAAACUCAUAGCUACUAUGAAUUCAAAAUCCUAAACCAUAAACUAUAUUUUCAUCAUGAACAUCUUGAUGAUUUCCUUAAAGUGUACCACACCAGUGAGUGAAAACGUGAUUGUUGACCCUUACGGAGAUAUGCACAGAUUUACCAUUGACAGGAAAAGGACUUUCGCUCAUUCCUGCCUCCCAAAGGAUAAGAAAUUGUGCUGCCUUGCCGGCAGCUACUUAUGUACCAGUCAUUUGUGGAUCUGUAUUAAAAUUCAAGCUCUUUCAUGCUAUUAAUAUUCCAUUGCGUAUUCGCGCGAGAAUAUAUUCCAUUUUUAAUAACACGAAACUUUAUGAAAAUUUUAUAAAUACAAGGCAGCGAUGUGCAGGAGUAGCUGUUGCCAGAUUCCUUGACAGUAGCGAAAAGAAAACGAAAGCUCAAAAGUCAAAGGAAACAGGGGCGAAGUCACUGGGGCCAAGGAACCCAACCGAACUGAACCGAACCCAAACCCAAAGCUGGAUAAAUUGCGCAAUGAAUCCGUUUUGGGUGAUGGUGAAAAGUCGGGUGCACACCAUCGAACCAAAAAAAAACCACCACACCCUACCUACCCAAACUUGCUCGAAUGAAAACAAAAAGUGGAUAAAAAAAAAAAAACAAUUGAAAUGUGAAUAUUAAAUAUACAAGUACAAGUUGCCAGUUAGUGUGCUCCCACCAUUGUUUGUUGCAGCACCUUGCAGAUCCACAACAAACACCCACGCAGCCACCUACUCAUCCAACCCAACCCACUUGACGGCGAACUCCCCGCGGCGUCAUUGUGCUUCCUGGCAGGCGGCAGUGGAAAAUGCCAUUUGAUGGCAUUUAGAUGGGAUCGCUGAUUGAUGUUACCGGCUUCUCUCCGUGAAUUCCCAAAGCCAGACCCGUGCUCGGUCAGUUGGAUUCCGUGGCGUUGGAUGGCUGCUGGCGUUUGGAGUACCAAAGAUGGGGAGGGGCUUCGCUUCGGUUUCGUGGGCGCUCAAGAAGUUGGCAAAAGGUGGCUCUACGGAAAUCGAGUAAGCGGAAAGCGGUCUUCAGCUGGCAUUAGUGAUAAGGUGGCGUCGGAUGAGUGCCCCACUGUUUCUGGAUUGCUGGAAUGCAUAGUACUUAGCCGGCAUAGUAUAAAUUUCAAUUGAAAUCACUACAGAUGCUGGAAGAUACUGCUCAUCAACUUUCCCGUAAAAGUAUGUCAAUCUAAUAGAGCUAUGGAAUAGGGUCAACUUGGCCAUACCGGAUAACUAAAUCUUUUAGCUAGC